rnacentral:tRNA from 1 species
GGAAAGAAGGGGAUUCGACC